GACGUAGGGUGCGAGCGUUGUCCGGAUUUAUUGGGCGUAAAGAGCUCGUAGGCGGCUCGUCGCGUCGACCGUGAAAACCCGCGGCUUAACUGCGGGCUUGCGGUUGAUACGGGCGGGCUAGAGUUCGGUAGGGGAGACUGGAAUUCCUGGUGUAGCGGUGAAAUGCGCAGAUAUCAGGAGGAACACCGGUGGCGAAGGCGGGUCUCUGGGCCGAUACUGACGCUGAGGAGCGAAAGCAUGGGGAGCGAACAGG
rnacentral:rRNA from 1 species